UGAGGAAUAUUGGUCAAUGGGCGGGAGCCUGAACCAGCCAAGUAGCGUGAAGGAUGAAGGCUCUAUGGGUCGUAAACUUCUUUUAUAGGGGAAUAAAGUGGAGAACGUGUUCUCCUUUGUAUGUACCCUACGAAUAAGGAUCGGCUAACUCCGUGCCAGCAGCCGCGGUAAUACGGGGGGUGCAAGCGUUGUCCGGAAUCAUUGGGCGUAAAGCGUUCGUAGGCGGUAUGUCAAGUCUGGUGUUAAAGCCCGGGGCUCAACUCCGGUUCGGCACUGGAUACUGGUAAACUAGAAUGCGGUAGAGGUAAGGGGAAUUCCUGGUGUAGCGGUGAAAUGCGUAGAUAUCAGGAGGAACAUCGGUGGCGAAAGCGCCUUACUGGGCCGUAAUUGACGCUGAGGCUCGAAAGCGUGGGGAGCAAACA
rnacentral:rRNA from 1 species